GACGAACGCUGGCGGCGUGCCUAAUACAUGCAAGUAGAACGCACAGUUUAUACCGUAGCUUGCUACACCAUAGACUGUGAGUUGCGAACGGGUGAGUAACGCGUAGGUAACCUGCCUGGUAGCGGGGGAUAACUAUUGGAAACGAUAGCUAAUACCGCAUAAUAUUAAUUAUUGCAUGAUAAUUAAUUGAAAGGUGCAAUUGCACCACUACCAGAUGGACCUGCGUUGUAUUAGCUAGUAGGUGAGGUAACGGCUCACCUAGGCGACGAUACAUAGCCGACCGGAGAGGGUGAUAGGCCAAACUGGGACUGAGACACGGCCCAGACUCCUACGGGAGGCAGCAGUAGGGAAUCUUCGGCAAUGGACGAAAGUCUGACCGAGCAACGCCGCGUGAGUGAAGAAGGUUUUCGGAUCGUAAAGCUCUGUUGUAAGAGAAGAACGGGUGUGAGAGUGGAAAGUUCACACUGUGACGGUAUCUUACCAGAAAGGGACGGCUAACUACGUG
rnacentral:rRNA from 1 species